CAUCGUUCCCUCUAUUCAUUCAUCCAUCACGCGUUUCACCGUUAUUUUUCGAGGAAGGAUGAAGAAAAGAGAGAAAGGCCUCGAAAUUCAUUCCCGUUUCACGGGAUUUCGCGCGAUAAGUGACCACAACCAGCACAUGCUCGACGAUAAUUUCCAUCUGCUCGUAGAAAACUCGUUCACCAAGGUGCGGAAACUCGUUGGGCCGCGAGACAUCUCGAGGGUCUACGAAACGUAGCCCGAUUUCGCGCAGAGAACAAUGCAAGGCAAGGCCACUUUCUUUCCAUCUUAGCCAUCUCUUUCUUUUUCUCUCUCUCUCUCUCUUUCUUCUUUCCUUCUGUUUAAUUCGGCUCCGUGAAAGCGCAGACUAAUUUCUCCUGUCUGGCCCCUCCGCCACCCUCUUCGAGAGUCGACGACGACGACGACGGCGGCGGAGUGGCCCGCAGCAAACUGGAGGGAAAGGGUUACAGAGGCGGAAGGUUGAAGAGGAGAUCCGCACAAAGAGCAGAGGAGUGUGCAACAAUUAUAAACACCGUGGCAAUUACAGUGGCCUGGGGGACGAUUAUAGACAAUUGUGUGGAUCGCACGUAAGCUGAGUAAUUAUACAUAGUUGUGAGUGGUUUGCUUUAGAGAAGGAGGGUGGUGAUAUAUUCGUGGAAGAAGAGAUCUUUUGGAAGAUUUUUA